AACCACCUGAUCCCAUGCCGAACUCAGAAGUGAAACGCGGUAGCGCCGAUGGUAGUGUGGCAUUCGCCAUGCGAGAGUAGGACACUGCCAGGC
rnacentral:rRNA from 4 species